rnacentral:misc_RNA from 1 species
CUGCGUCUUUCGGCCGCUGAGGUUUCUGUCGCGUUCUGCCUCCGCGCCUUCUGAUGCUGUGCCAUAUUCAACACCCCCCCCUUUCGCACACAUACACGCAUACACAGCUACUCGGUCUUGGUGCGCUUGACGGCGUGUACUACACGCUUGUGCUACUUCACUGCCAGGACUGCCCAACUCGGCUGCAGGAGGGUGUUUCUUUCUCCUCCUUUCUGCUCCCUUUUCGCUUUUCAUAUUUUUUCGCCCCUCUCCAUCUCCUGCCGCUCAACCUGCCCUCGAUUCCGGAGAGGCGUGCGCCACGUACUGGUUUUACACCUUUUCGACGCUGCCCCUCUCUUCUCCUCCUCUGGCCGCUGCCUUCCCUUGACAGAGCGUGGCGGCGUGAGAGCACGGCUCAUCGAAAGCUACUCGUUGAACGCGAGUGCUGGGCAGUAACGAGAGCGGGCUGUGACGCGGACGAGCAGUCACACACAUAGGCAGAGACGGAUAGCGGGAGGAAAGGCUUCUCCUUGUCGGACAUCUAUUGUGUUAUCAGGUAUUCUGAGCCGCAUUCCUCUCCCACUCUCUGUGACGACGCUUUCUGCUUCACCGUGUACGUUUCUUUCUUCUAUCUUUUUCCGGCAUCUCCUCCUGCCAUUCUCUGCUGUUUUCCGCAUUCUGUAGCUUCGUCACCUCUCUCGCUCCCCUCUGACACCCCACCUAUCAAAGACGCGUUUCCCACACAAGUUUGUUUUCUUCUGUUUUAGUAUUCUGUAUAGUCUUGUGUGCGUGUGUGUGUGUGUGUGAGCGGCAGAUCUCGUUUGGCGCCAAGUGAGUCUAUACCCCAUUUCCGCUUUUUUUGGCUAGUGCUCACUAGCGUCGACCCGUUGCUUCGACUCCAACAACCUCUUGCCCCUCGUCUCCGGCCGCUCAUCUGCGACCGGCUUCGUCUUCUCGCGGUGCGCAGCUGUAGACAGGGUGAGAACUUAGCGUGAAUUCUCUCGUUCUCUCGGCUGUGCGCGCGCGCGUUUGCCCCUGUGCGCUGGAUGGCUGUUCUUCACAACAUUCUUUGCUUGCGAUUUCCCCGAGUCCUGGCUAGAGUGACAGUGCCACGCCGCCCUCCCUCUCUUUCUGUGUGCGUGUAAGUGGGCGGGUGGGUUUUUUUUUUCGUGUGCUCUGUAAGGAAAUAAAUCACCGAUACGCAAGUGUAGGUGGUCCCUUUUUCUUUGCUUCCGUGUUGGGUUCUUUUUAUUGUGCGCUCUCUUGUUGGUCGCCUUCUUGAAUUGCUUGCUCCUACUGCAGACACCCUCCCUCGUCUCUCUCCUGACCACCACGCCGAACGCCAUUCCUUGCGCCGCCUUUCUUCCUCAAGUGACAUUGUGGAGAUCAUCCUUUUUUCGGUCGUUUUAGAUACGCAUUUUUCGUUCUGCCACAGGAGAUUUUCUCGGCCGUCUCUCCCUCUCUCUGUUGUCUUUCUCCGCAUCGUUUUGUCUGCUUUUUUUUCCAUCCCCGCCGGCGCGUGUGAACUCUUUUUUUGUGUGUGUAGUUUGGUGUUUUGUCCCCACCCACCCCCCGUCCUCCUCCCUUCUUUUUUACCUUUUUUUCCUGGUCCUAACCUCAUUUUGUGUGUGUGUGUGUGCGUGUCUUCGUUCUUUUGCCCUUUUUUGCUUUUUCUGCAUUUGGUUUCUGUUAAAGCGUAACUAUAUCUAUCUCGUACGUUGAUCGGUUGUUGGUGUGGAUACGUAUAGCAUUUGCUUGUGCUUGCCUUCUUUUUUGUUGUUCUUUUCGUGACCAAGGACGCUUCCUUCACUUUCUCCUUCGCUCUUUCCCACUCCUCAUCGCAAAAAAAAAAAGGAGGCCAACAUAUUUAAGGAGCCGGCAACGUUAAGGACAGUACACACACGUGCUGUUUGGCAUUCCCUUCCUAGAGCUCAGUAAGCUUCUUUGUGUCAGCUGCUGUCUUGUCGAAUACCUCCGUGUCGUGGUUUUCCAGCUCUUGUUUUUCACUUCUCUUGUGCGAGUGUUCAUUCUGUUCUCUGUUUGCAUGCUUGCCCUGUGGACUUGACGACCGUCUCACGUCCUGUGCUUGCUCUGCUUUUUUUUUAACUCUUCUUUGCUUUCGUCUGCUCUGGUGUCGCCUUUCUGUUCUCUCUCUCCCGAUCUCUUUUUUCCGUUUUUUUUUUUCAUGGCUCCACCCCUCUCACCUCAUCUCACCGUUGUGUCGUCUCUGUCUUUUCCUUUUUACGCGUGUGUGUGUUCGGGUCGGCUCUUGAAAUCUGUGUCUUCUCUUUGUGUCUUUUCGUUUUUCUCGUUGUUGUUCCUUACAUAUUUUUACUUUCUGGUGGCCUUUCUCUUCGUAUUACCUACUCUCCAUUUCUCCUCAUCACACUAGAGGCUUCUUUUUCUUUUUUCUUCGUUGCGUUAUAUUUCUCUCUCCCUCUCUCUCAGCUCCGAUCCAGCUUUGGGGAGCACCACAAAUACGGAAGCGAAGCCCGGUUUCACUUUUCUGUCGCACAUUGUGGUUUGUGCCUGUUGUUACAGUGGUUUUUCAGCCUUUCUUUUUCCUCUUCUCGUCGCUCUCUCUCUUUAGGUUGCGUGCAUAUCUCCGCCACGGUGUGCUUGCCCGUCUUCUAUUUCCCCUCCUUUUUGUGUUUUUGUCUUCGGUGUUAUUCUGUCGGAAUAGAAGAGUAACACUCGGCUUUCCUUUCUUCAUUUUGUUUCCCGUUUGUAUCUUUUUUUUUGCGGGGGGGGGCUUCUUCUACAUCGGUACUCUAAGGUACCUGCGUGUGUAAGCGUGUGCGUGUGUAUGGCCGUGCUUGUGCCUUUUAGCUCACACAUCCCACAGAUUCCGUUGUCAACACGAAAGUGAGCAAAACGAAAUAAGACCACCACAGCAGCGGAUUUUUCGAUUUUUUUUCCAGAACAAAGAAGACUACUUCAACUCGCCUCUUCACACCUACCCCACCCCCUCCCUCUGCACAUCAAGAUAACUUUUGAGAUAAAGAUAUAUAUAUAUAGUCAACUAUUCGUGCUUCAUCGCUCUUCCCGAUCGCAAAAGAAGUGCAGACGGCGAUCUUUUUUUUUCUGUGUGUGUGCGUGCGUGCAGCUUACGAAGAGCGCUUCCUGAGGGGGAAAGGAAAGGCACCCUAUAUUUUCAUUCUGCGCCUUUCCUUAGUUCUUCCCUUGCUCUUGUAUUUCACCGCUUCGCCUUUCUCCAGUUUGGAAAAAAAAGAAGACCAACUAUCCUUUUCUGUAGUGCUAUUGCUUACUCGAGCUUGGUGAUUCCUUCAAAAUUCUCUUCACAUUAUUGUUCUUGCGUCUUGUUGUUUUCGCUCUUUUUUCUUGCGAGGAAACGGGGAAAAGGGAGUGGCGAGCGGUUUUUCUUUAUUUGUGCUCCUUUUGUUUCGCUUUUUGUCUCUCUGAGCGUGUGUGAAUCUUUGCCCCCCCCCCCGCCCCCGCCCCCUCUUCGUAUUUUCAUUGCCGUCCCCCAAUCCCUGGACUGUAGACGAGGACUUACCACCAUCGUUGUCUGUGCGUUAUGUUCCGCGGUUCGCGCCCUCUUUCGCCCUCUCAGUUUCUCCCUCACUAUUUUUUUUUUACGGUGUGCUCUGUCGAGAUUGGUCGACGCUUUUGCUCUACAUUUCGCACUGAUUCUCCGUCUUUGGGAUUCGUUACAACGGCGUCUCAUCAGUUUGUGGUUUUCUCUCUUCGUGUGUGUGUGUCUCUUGCUCUUUGGUUCCGCCCUCCUGCAUCUUGGUGCAUUCUUCUGCAUCGUUCUGUAUCUCAGUAUCUUUUCGUUUGUUUUGCUUAUCUUGCUACUUUCCUCGUCUUUCAGUGUAUUAAUCUCUGCUUCUCGGUGUCUGCGCCUUCGUCGUAGCUCGCUUUUUGUCAGAAGUAAGCGCGGGGCCAUACCUCACGCACGCGGCCUGAUAAACGGUUACGCUCACAUUCGAGCGCAUUUUUCAAACGAAGAGACAACGCGCUGGGUCACAUUCUAAGUGCGAGCAACUGUGUGCUCAUCCCUCUCCUCCUUGCUUCCGUGUUGACUGCCUCUUGUUUCUUAGACCUGAGGUCGCUCAACCUUUUUUUUUUGGUUCCUUUACCUCACCUUCCUCUUCUUCAUUCUCUGUUGACCCGCACCGCCUUCGCGCGCGUCAGCGUGACGCAUAUCUGGACGAUUCACUGGUAUCGGCGCUCGCGACUUCACAUUGUGACGCGUGCUGUCGCCGUUAAUUUUCUGCAACAACAACGGAAUAUAGUCGCCUCAAGACUCGAAAAAGUGGUAGCUCCUGCGAACAGACUCUCCGUAGGGCUUAGCGCAAGUGCAACAACCCAUUUUCGCCCGUGGUUGAAACACAUCAAUACCUUCGCAGAAAACGAACCAAACAGAAAGGAAAAAAGGAGAGGCACCAAAAAGCCGAGCGGCACCGUCUUUGCAAAAAAAGAAAAAAGGGGGAAAACACACAACCCAACAGCCGAAGCAAAACAAGAACAAAAAGACUAGCGCAGUGGCGGUGCGUGCGUUUGUGUGCGUUCGCGUUGGUGAUUCUCUCUCUCGAAGGAUAUAUCUGUCUCCCUCUAUCUGCCUUUUGCUUUUUUUUUUGCGUACCACUGUCGUGGUUUAUUUUUGUCGUUGUCGUUCUCUCCCUCCGUUGUGCUUUCUUUUCAGUGCGUCGUCUGCGCUCUUUUUAUUUUGGCCUGUGUGUGUGUGUCUUGGCGCAGGCUCCACCGCAUCCGAGAGAAAAAAGGAGAAAACAUUUCUUUUUCCCUCUUUCUUCUUUGCUUUUUGUUUCUCAUUUCUUUGUGAGCCUUUCUCUCUCCCUUUUGUUUUUCUUGUGCUUCUUUUGCUGUUGUUGUCGUAUGACGUCCGCGCUGUAACACUUGCCAUCCAGAGUCGGUUCUUGGGUUCGUUUUUGUUUAUCGUUUCGCUUCCCACAUCGACGCACGCCCCUUUCCAUUCCUUGACAACACAGAGCAGGAAAGGGAAGGAAACGGUGUGCUGCUGCUUUGUUUCGCCUUGACUGUGCUCGGGUGUGCUCGUAUGGCUUUCAGCUCAUCUUUCACCACGUUUGUAGCACCCUCGACUUGGACACGGACGAGACUCGCAAAAAAAAAAGAAUAAAGGACGAGGCCGCCAUUGGCAGACGCAGCUCGAAAAGACACGGAACGGAGCGCAAGGAGGAGACAGUAGAUCUAUCCUCCAGAGAAGUAUGAAUUGACCUGCUCUUGUCUCUGUCUCGUCUUCGUUUCUGCUCGUUUUUUUUUCUUGUUACACUCGGACGCGUUGGUAUUAGACACAGCGCGAUUUCGUUUCUUUUCUUUCUUCUCUCUUCCUUUUGCUUUCCUUUUUUUUUGUGUAGUUUUGCCUUGUUGGUGGAUCUGGCGCUCUUCUUUUUUAUUCUGUUUUUCAUUCGCAUCGGUUGUGUCUUCGUUUCAUUGUCCUUCCUUCCUUCCGCGCCCGAAACCUCCUCUCUUCUUUUCGUUUUACCGCUUGGACAGUUGCUAUUUUUUUUUUGAUCCGAAAGAUGCCUAGUUGCAGUAGCGUGACGCAACCGGAGCCGGAGUCUACUCAGGGGAUCGAGCUGCCGGCUUGUGCACGCAAGCCGCGGGAUCCGGACUUCGAAGCCCCCGCCUCCCUCCACGCGCAGUCCAAGGAGAGCAAUCCAUUGGUGCUGGCGCCACCUCCCUGCCCGAUUAUCUGCCCCGAGCACGAGCGCAAGAUGCGGCGCACUUCUAAGUCGUGUAUUGUGCCCCCGCCGAGGCAGCGCCAGUUCAUGGGCGACGUGGUCGGGCUCAAAGUGCCCGACCUCGUAACCGGUUGGAAGCUGCCACGGAAGAGCAGCGCACACCGUUGCUUUCUUGCAGCGGGCGGUGACGUCACGGUAGAGCCUCAGCCUUCAUCCCUCGCAGGCGCGAACACCAAGUGCCCUGUGCGCGUCCCGGCUUGUGCUGGCUUGCCGACGUGUGGCCCGCGUGGCGAAAAUGGGGUGCUCAUCGUAAGUCAAGACGACCGGCCGGCGGGCUUAGUGAACUCGCGCCGCAGAUACAGCAAGGAAAGCAAGCCCGCGGUGAACGGCGAGGAUGGCGUCCUCCUCAGCGAAUACGAGGAGGACUCGGCGGACGCGGCCGUUCGACAAACGGUGGCGCGCGUGCGGAGCAAGAACUGUGUUCUGCUGAUUGUCCUGCUAGUGAUCAUCAUUGUGCUGGCCGUCGCAGGGGGAGUGGGCGUUGGCUUUGUGAACAAGCACUACACUACGUUGACGCAUCGGAUGUAUUUGGAAUCGGGAGAACGUAUCGUCCUAAACAGCUCCGUCAUGCUUCUGAAGAACUACCAUGAGACGCUGCGGGCAGACGCGCGCCAUCUCCUGUCCUUUGUGCGCUCCUCGAUGAUCGGCAGGAAGCCGGAGAGCAUAGCGGUAGUGCAGAGCACUCUGUAUCUUCCCUUUUUCGAGGCGUGGAGUACGUGGCUGUUCUCCUCCAACGUUCCAUCGACGCACUCGAUUUACGUAUCCAUGUGCGGGGAACCCCUGGCCAACACCGUAGACUGUCCUUUCAUGGCGCUCACUAUUGUGUGCAUGCCCAACGUCCUACAAGCGGCGUGCUUUUACAUGCAUUCUGACGAAGUGGACAGAUCGCGGAUGAUCGUGAAUCGCAUCGAAGUCAACGAGUCCGGCAUUCCACGGAUAGGUGCCUUUUACAAGUACGUGCCGCUGAAGGUGAACUACGCGCACUACCAGACCAACAACGACUAUGGCUACUUCCUUGACCAAGACUGCGCCGCCUCACUCGACGGUAAGGUGCACACCACCCUGACCAUUCGGCGGCAGAUCGUCGUGGGCGACCUCGUAAUCAUCUGCGACGCCAGUGGUUUCUUUGAGCGUUGGUUUCAGAGGUUCGAAAAGGGGCUGCAGAAAAAGAAAGACAGCCACUCCGUGCUUUUCGUCAACGAUGGCACCGUUCUGGCGUACGACUGCGGCGCCCCGCCUCGCCAUCGACACGUCGUCUCCCCGUGCAGCAUGCGACUUGUGCCGCACAAAAUGGGCGAUUGCAUGGCCGGCAAAGCGGAUAUGAUAGACCGCAUAGUGGACACCUUCACAGUGGCAAUGCAGCGAAACAAGUUGAUGAAGCGAGGUGGGCUGUCGAAAGACCAUGUGGCGCUCACGGAGAGGGUCGGCGACUACAUUGUGGUCUAUCAGGACUUUUUGAGCUUUCGCGUGGGCGACGGCGAGCCCAAGACCGUCUUCAUUGCAGCGUACGCUGUGCCACUCGACACCUCGCUGGGUCGCGACGGUUUUGUGCAGAUUUCCAUCUGCGUCGUCAUCAUCAUCAUCUGCAUGUUCCUCCUCGGCGGUGUUGCGAUGGUGGCCGUGAACCAGAUGAUGCGCGUGGUGGAGGUCAUUUCCCAGCUCUCCACGCACGCUGCCACGUACGACACGAAGCGGAUGCGCAGUGUGCUAGAUCGCCAAAAGCCUGGCAUGCUUGCCCGGGUCAUCACGUCCGCUGAUAUUAUCAACUGCGAGUUCCAGCACAUCCUAACGAACCUGAAUGCGUAUCGUCCGUUUCUGCCCCAGUCGCUGCUCACCAAGAGCAGCUACUCCUUUUCCGACGAGCCGCUGGAGCCGCCGAGCCUGUGGCGCAGCGACGUGGCCCUGGGCGGCAGCGCCGCGGACGACGUUGUUGUCGACGAGGACGGGGUGCCGGCCAAACCGCUGCCGCGGUUCCACCUAAAGAACACCCUCGAGGGCAGCGUUUCGAACCCGGUCGAGAACUGGCGACUCCUGCAGCGUGGUUUUCACCGAACGAAGUCAACGAUCCUCGUCGUCAGUCUCUCGAACGUCGCCCUGGACGCGGGUGAAUCAGUGGAUGCGGUAAAUCUGUUCGUGCAGACGGUGCUGAAUCACGCGGCGAUCGCCAACGGCGUUGUGGAGGUCAUCGAGUUCCAAAAGAUCGUCGUCUCCUUUAACUCGCACUUUCCAGUUCCGCGGCAUCAGGAGAAGGCCUGCCUCUGCGCACUCGCGAUCCGCGAGGAGUUCAGGGACAGGGGGUGCAGCAUUAGCAUAGGCAUCGCGUCGGGGUAUAACUACGUCGGCACCACUGGUACGGAGCAGCAAAAGGCGCGUGUCAUCAUGGGUGAGAGUGUGGUGGUGGCACAGUCGCUGACCAGCCUCAAAAACUACCUCGGGUGCUCCAUCCUAGCCACCGACCAGGUGGUCUUUGAGGCCCUUGUGACGGCGGUGGCGGUGGAUGUUGUGCAGCUGUACUACGAGCAUAACCAUCAGUGGGUGCAGUAUGGUGUGUCUGAGAUCAUUGGGAAUCGAUACGCCGUGCUUUCGCCAGAUAUGCAGCUCGUCAAGUCGGUCUUUAAGCUGGUCCGCUACCGCCAAGCAGAGGAGGCACUGGAGGCGGUGCGGAGGUACGUGGACGCCGCCGCCGAGCGGCGCGAGACGCCCUCGUGGCCGGUGCGUCGCAUUCACGCCCUGGUGGAGCGCCAACAGCUGUUGAUCAGGAGCGGCUAUCGACGACAACGCCUUCAAUGGCAGGCCCUUGAGGGCGAUGAGAUUAUCAUGAAGCACCUCUCCGAGGAGAACCAGUCAUACAACUCGAAGCGGCAGCCCCGUCUCAUGGCAACCGUCAGCACGGCCACAGUGGACUCCCUGGCUACAUUGUCGACCCAUGCCAAAGCGGCCCCGUGCGAGUUCGGCUUUGUCUCCGGCGACGUGCUCAACGCCGGCAGCGAGGCGGAACUCGCGCGAGCGUUGGUGGGCGAGCAGUCGAAGCUGAGCAUGACGCGGCGGCAGUUGGCGCCGAUACCGAGCUCAUGCUUCAGCGAGGAUGCCCUCUUUCCUGUUUUUACCGUCAAGAGCAGCGACGGCGAUGAGGAGGAGAGGUCGCCAGGCUCAUCGAGGUUGUCGUCGCAGCAUAACCGCGUCACCGAUGGCAACGCGGAGGCCAGUGGCGCGGACUCUGAAGAAAUGAGGCCGGUGCUGCUGGUUGAACCACAGACACUGCGCAGCGAGGAGCGUCAUGAUGUGCGCAUCGGUGCUCUACUGCCGCCGUUCACAGUCACCACUUCAUCACCGUUUCUGCCGGCGCAUGACAUGGAGUACCCGUGCACCACGGCUGGCAUCUCUUCGAUGCUGUCGAACAGUCGCCGGCACUCGGCACUGGACCGCCAGCGCCACAUCGCGCCCACCCCUCUGCACGAUGGUACUUGCCACGCGAGUACCUAUGCGACAUCCGGCGCACUCGGGGGCGUUAGUGGAGGAAAGUCUUCCAUUGGUGCUUCCCUCGCUACUACCAGUGCUGGCAACCUUGGUCGCACAGCGGACUCGGCACUCAAGCAGAGCAGUGAGAACGUCGCGGGCUUGGCCAAGAUGCACUGUAGCUACAAACUGCCGCAGCGUAUUGUGUCGGUCAACGGCCAGGUGUUUCACCGCACCUCGCAGCUUGUGGGGCGCGGGUCCUUUGGAGAAGUGUACGUCGCCAUAUCGGAGACCGGAUCGCUUGGCGCCAUGAAGGUGUUUCCGCUGAACGACAACAACGCUCCGCAGCUCAUCCGCGAGGUGGAGACGCUAUCGCAGAUGCGGCACGAGAACAUCGUCGGCUACGACUGCUGCGCCGUUCAGGACAAUUUCUUCUUCAUUAUUUGUGAAUAUUUGGCUGCCGGCACACUUGGCUCUCUCAUUCAGAAGCUCGGGGUGAUCCCGGAGCGGGCGGCGCGCAAGUACGCGUGCGACAUGCUCUUCGGGCUCGGCUACCUUCAUCAGCACUCAUGGCUGCACUGCGACAUCAAGCCGGAGAACAUCCUCGUGACCUCUGACGGCACGUGCAAGCUGGCAGACUUUGGUGCCGCCUCACUGGGGCGAAGCUUGACGGACGCAGUUUCCGUGCGCGGGACGCCGCGUUUUUCGGCUCCUGAGGCUAUACUGGGCACGUGGAACCAACAAGCGGAUAUCUACAGCUUCGGCAUCACCGUCGCUCAGAUGGUGACGGGUGUGCACCCGUGGCACAAAUACACGGAGCCCGACCAUCUAUUUGUCGCGCACUACGCGGGUGAGAUACGGCACAGUCUGCAGACGGGCAUGCCGUGCGCGAUGCAGCCAGACCUACCGACGAACCUGCAAGACAAGGAGCUGGAGAGCGCCAUCCACCGCUGCUGCGAGUUCGACCCUGCUCGGCGCCCGACAGCGGAGGAGUUGGUGACGCUGCUUUCCUAGUAGCCGCCGUUGCUCUCUCCUUCUUUUGCGUUUCUGUUCCACGGUGUAAAAAAAAUGGCCAUCGAGCGCGAUGUCUCGCUUUGUGUUCACGUGCCUUCUCGCAUGUCUGUGUAUGGCUCUUGGUGAGUUCUGCGCCGUUUCUUCUGUCGCUCUCUCCGUGCUCCCACCCCUUCUUCUCCCCAUCACUCUAUUCCAUACUCUCCUUUUGCACUCUGGGCGUGCAUUCUGUUGUGGUUUUGUUGCCUCUUCGGUCUCACCUCCUUCGGGGAUGUCAUCCUGAUACACUAAACCCAGAGUGCAAGCAGAUCUUCUCAUGCCUAAGCUAGCAGAGACACAGUUGCCUGCGACCUCUCCAAACCUCCUUGACAUAUAUGGUUGCCACCCACGUAAGGUCGGGGUGGGUGGGAGGAGGGCGCGCUCCGUGAGAAGUGCUUAAUGGUACUCUGACUGUCCAGACACACCAUUCGUGUGUGCGGGUGGGUUUCUUUCGCACUUCCGUGUACCAGAUUCUCGUCGACGGGACUUCCAUGAGAAAAUGUUUUUUUUUUUCUUUUUUGAAUUGUCAUUGUCUCGCUCUGUGUGUGUGCGUGCGUGGUGGCGCUCUUCUCUCCGCGUUUUCUUUCGGCUUCAUGGUGGAGCUUUUUUUUUCUUGGUCUACUGACGCUUUCAUCGUUCUCUGCCCCCUGACGACGGGAGAGGGAGGAGGCGGGGCCGUGGGGGGGGGGUGAGAGCGAUGUAUCGCUACGGAUGCUGGCGUUCAGGCUCCGGAUAGCGUUGCGUCGGAGAGCGCUGCGAGCGUGCACACGCUUGUACCAUCCAUGUGAUGGGCAGAGCGUCAGCGUGACUGGAACGUAUCCCACCGCCGACCCUCACUGCGUAGUGGUGUGGGGAACCUGAGCGUCACCGCGAAGGACGCGCUACGUGGCGACCGGCACUGUGGGAGCGGCUGUGAUGCGAUGACCGAGUCCGCGCAUUAGCAGCAGCGCAUGUGCCGACGGCCGCUUCUCACCAUGUGGAGGGACCCCCUGACGGGCCGAGGUUGAGUAUAAUUCGACUUGUGUUUCAUGGAAUGGUAUGAACUGAUUAAAAUUUCUUUUGCUCGGCUGCUGCGUGCGCGCCAGUGAAGCCUCCCUUCCUCUUGCGCACAUAUCGGUCUCACCAAAGACGUAAUGCGAACGCAGUUGGUGUGAGUGGUGAUUUAGAGAACGUGCGAAUAGCGAGAGGGGCACGAGCCACUGCCCCACUGGCCACUGAAGUCGCUUUUCAACCGCGGGAGAGGAUGCGAAGAGCGCAGAAGAAUGCAAGCUAGGAGCAGUUCGCGCGGCGCACUCGCAUGAUGUUGCGUAUACCUUUUCUUUCGCAUCUUCCCAGUAGACCUUUCUCCCGUGAUCGCGCUCUUGCUCACGGUGCAUCUGUGUGUGGGCGCAGACGUAGCGCCUCUUGUCGAACCCUCACCUUCGCCACCCCGUUCAUAGUGCAGUCCGUUUCUUUUGUUGUUGUGUUCCCGUGAAGUAUUCAUGUCGAAGCGGCGUGCUUCUCCGUUUACUUUUCGGCACCGCUGCCUCUCCGUUUGCGCUUUUGUGACAGUGGGUAAUUCGACCCCGCCCGCCCCCCUCCUUGUGCCUCUACGGGGUCACUCUUCUUCGAGGCUUGCGCGUUCAACACACGUGUGUGCUGCCGUCUCGUCCUCUGCGCGGUCGACGCGUUCCUGCGUUGGCGCAUACGAAUCUAUACGGGUGUGUCUGUCGGGUACGCUGAUGAGCGCAGCUGCAGUUCCGAAUGACAACCGCAGUACGGCUCCGAGGGCAAUGGCUGCAAGGAGACCGAGCACUGCUUUUUUUUUUCGCAAAUGACAUAGACCGCACGACUAUCCCACCUCGCUAAAACGGAAAGCAAAGAGAGCAGGACCGUUCACAGGUGCAGGCCAACAACAACAAAAGACACACACACACACACACGCACACUG